UUUCCGCCCUCAGUGAAGGCACGGCCUGACGUCACUUCUGCCCUGGAUUCGCAGCCAAUCAGGGAGUGUUUCCGCCCUCACAAAGGCUCUUUGUGAUGGCCCGCGCUGCUGACACCGCCUGGCCCAGCCCGUGCCGUUCCCGCACGGUGCCGCUGAGAUAUGAGAAAAGCUCUUUACAGAGAGAUGGAGAAGGAAUUAGUUAUACCUCUGCCUCAUCCUGUGAGACCAGAAGACAUGGAGUAAAUGGAAAUUGCGAUUCUCAGGAGACGCACUAAGAGUCUUGGGUUCCUUUUCUGCCUUCCCCCUAAGGCCUUGGUUACAUUGGGUUCACCCUGGGAAGGGCAUGUUGCUCAGGGCAGUUAUUUCCUACCUGAGACAACGUGGGGUGUGUUUUUCUGAUGUUUUCACUUGUGGUUUUCAGCGCAUGUUCACACUGCUUCUGUUAUUGAGAAAAUGGUUUGGGAAGAUGUCUGCCGUUUCUCAGGAUUUUCUGCCAUUGCCUGCUGGCAGAAAAAAUCAGUAAUGCGGGUGGAGCCAUGUAGGACUUCCCUGAGGUAAGCCUUCAACGGACAGGGACCCCUAAACUCGUGCACCAAGCAUUCAAGACAAAUGUCUGUGGCACAAAGAUCAAGGACGACUUCUCAGAGUAUUCCUAGUCCCUGCCUGGUGGUGGGUUGAAGUCUACGGGUUGAUGUGUUUCCAAGUGAAAAGAGAUAAGUACAUCUAUUUAAGGUGACAUCUAGUAGGAUCAUUUAAAGUAAAUUAAUCUAUAUAGUAGUAGGUGCCUUUAUUGCAUGCAGCUCUUCUUCAGGUGAGUAAUUGUGGAGGAAUCGUUAAGUGAGGCGGGACAUGUGAAUGUUGAGCAGUUGGGAGACAAUGGGCUGGUGAAGCACCGUACUCAACUCACAUGAGCCUUGGCACGUACACAGCUGGCUGAGAGCCAAUC